UACAUUAGAUGAUAAGUUGGAUAAUGACAUUCCUCCUCUACAAACAGGAGGGUCGAUUGAAUGUUGCAUAUAUAUGGGUAGUAAAUGCUGGACUGUAAUGCAACUUAAUUCUCAAUUACUUUGUGAUCUGUACAAACACUGACUACAGUGUUCCAGAAGAAAUGACCUUCACUUAAC
rnacentral:sRNA from 1 species